GUACGGGAGGCAGCAGUGGGGAAUAUUGCACAAUGGGGGAAACCCUGAUGCAGCGACGCCGCGUGAGCGAAGAAGUAUUUCGGUAUGUAAAGCUCUAUCAGCAGGGAAGAAAAUGACGGUACCUGACUAAGAAGCCCCGGCUAACUACGUGCCAGCAGCCGCGGUAAUACGUAGGGGGCAAGCGUUAUCCGGAUUUACUGGGUGUAAAGGGAGCGUAGACGGAUUUGCAAGUCUGAAGUGAAAGCCCGGGGCUCAACCCCGGGACUGCUUUGGAAACUGUGGAUCUAGAGUGCCGGAGAGGUAAGCGGAAUUCCCAGUGUAGCGGUGAAAUGCGUAGAUAUUGGGAGGAACACCAGUGGCGAAGGCGGCUUACUGGACGGUGACUGACGUUGAGGCUCGAAAGCGUGGGGAGCAAACAGGCUUAGAUACCCUGGUAGG
rnacentral:rRNA from 1 species